rnacentral:lncRNA from 10 species
CCGGAACUAUUUUCAUUAUUCCCUCAGACUAGAUCUGUCCUCAUCAGGUUAUCUUUUCUGGCUGAAGUCAGGAAGAGGGAGAAAGAUGCAAAGUCUGACAAGAGUUGGACCUGCCAUUGCUGGCUUUGAAGAUGAAGGAGAGGCCCUGAGCCAAAGAAUGUGGAUGGCCUUUGGAACUUAGGAAUGGGGAAAUGAGGAUCUCAGUUCUACAACCUCCAAGAACUAAAUUCUGCCAGCAACCUAAAUGAGCAAGUAAACAGAUUCUCUACAAGAGUCUCUAGGAAGGAACUCAGUGCUUUGAACAUGUACAUUUUAGCUCAAUGAGACCUAUGCUGCACUUACCAUCUCCACCCUGUCAGAUGAUACAUCUGGGUUAUUUGAAGUCACUAAGUGUGUGACAUUUGCCACAGCAGCCAACAGAAAUCUGUUGAGGUACAGUGAAGAAGAGAUAUUUUAAAUUUUGUG